ACAAUCCUCCAGCUAGACAAAUGACUUCAACAUGCUGAGUGGUCGACUUGUCAGUCUUGAGUGGCUCUCCGAUCAGGCCUCUGUUCCCACACUGCUGGCUUUAAUUCUGCACACAUCCAUUGACUGCAGCUUUUUCAGAUUGAAGAGGAAAAGACAAAGAGCAAGGGAGCUUAUGCGCUGUCAUUCCGUACGGGCACCGCACUUUAAGGCAGUUGUUUCCCAGCAACUCUCUGGGGCUGCGAGAAAAGCGUGGUGCCCGUGCAUCGGUGUCAUUCAGCGCGAUGGAGGUGAGAUCCCCCAACGAGGGAUGGGACUGUUGUUUCGGGGCUGCCCACUGAUCAAAGGGAGGGAGGAUGGUACAACAUGAAUACCAGGAGUAAUUUUCAUCUGGUGGAAUGUCUUUGUCUCACCUCUGGAACAAACAAGCCCCAGGAAAUAAAGGAGGAUGUACUUUCAGAAUCCAAGAGCUGGAAGAGACCUUGAUGAUCAUCCCGCUCAUGAAGGUUUCCUAGACUUCUAACCCUGGGAGCAAAGCAAAGUAGGGGAGCUGGCCUGAGGGUUCAAGUGCUUUGCCUGGAUUUCCUGCCUCAAGCAAGAAAAUGGCUUUCAAGUCUCAAAUUCUAGCUUAAAAAUUCAUGAAGCAUUUUGCAUUCCAUAUCUAUAAUGUCUCUGUUAAUGAACUGCUUUUUCAAAAAAUAAAUCUUUGAAUAAGAUUAUCAAAAUAUUAUGCAAGGCAUAGCUGGUGAUUUUGAAUGUCCUCCAGACCCGCUUUGGAGCUGAACACAUAAUUUCCACACCAAUUUAAACAGUGUAGACGCUAGCCCCAUCUACUCGUGAGUCUAAGCUCCAAACUUAUCAAACAAUGGUUUAGGCAGGGCUUGGACACGAUCCAUUAGGAAGCAGAAAGGGACCAACUGCUAGCUCAUGAAAUGCAUGAGAUGCUGUUGUCAAUCUCAGUCUUAGAGCUGAGAGCUGAGUUCUUACUUUUACUUCUAGAAUCUUUGCAUAUCAGAUCAUCCAAGCUGGUGUGGCAAAAGAGGCAGUGGCAGUAGAUGGGGACAUCGGGACCCUCCCUUCAUCUUGGGCUUGGCUGGGCUCCUGGGGACAGGACUGCUGCUUUUAAUAGAGAAGCACGAAUGGUUGAGAGCUUGGGCAGAGAGCAGUGGUGCUGAAUCCUCUUAGGACUUGAGGGGUUUUUAGCUGUGUUAGAAGCAAAUAGCACCUGCUGUAUGGCCAGUGGGAGCCAGAUCAUUUGGUUCAAGUUUAGUGGGUUUUCUCAAGCAGAAAUUGUUAGGGGCAGACGUAGGGCAGGGUUUGGGGAGGUGGGGUCUUGGGGGUGGGGUGGAUGGGAACAAAUACACUAAAUAAGGCAAGGGUUUAUGUUCCAAGCUCUGGUUGGCUUUUGAGUCAGAUGGUAAAUUCUCAGUGACCAGCUACCUUCAAGUCUUCCUUUACCUGUGCCGAGAAUCACGGUUCCAAAUAGGUCAGAAAUUGGUUGCUUAGGCUCCUAGCAGUCCGAAGGUUGUGCACUUGUACGUAUGUACGUGCUCAAAGCUUCACAAGACUUUUCACUAAUGUUUGGUUUGGGCAGAUGACCGGCUAAGAACGUGUUUCUGUGUAGGCAUAUUGCCCCACCAACCUGGGCAUCUCUCACUCAAGAAAAAAAGAGACGGUGGUGAGGGGGAAAGAGGAAACCCUGGUUUAUAUUUGGGUCCUGAUAGGUAUUGAGGACCACACUUCAGGUUUUCAAAGAUCCAUAAAAUGUGGAAGCUCCUCCCAACCUCAAUCUAAACACCGGAUGAACAGAAAGGACCAGGCAACAUUAACACGACCCUUAGGAUCAAGAUGGGGAGACGGCCACUUCGCCAUCCUACUUGGAAAGUAGGCUGUUCAGAGCCUCAAUUUAGAUUUACUUUUAGAAAUGUGGUUCUAAUCAGGAAUAAAAUCAUAGGAUUUGGAGAAUAAGAUGGAGGAACCCAGGAGCUGUGCCAGGGGCUUCUUGGUUUCAAGAUCCGACCCGCUGGGAGCUCCAAGACGCAGCAUUUCAGCUUAUGUUGCUAACAGGGGGUUCUUAGCGCAGCAAGGGGCCAAUUCAGAACGUGAAAGAGUCUUCCUGUGAAGACUGUCGUUCUCUAAUAGACACAAUAAUGGAAGGAUCCGAAAAGAGAAGGGACGCAGCAGACUGGGAAUUUCUAUGGGCAGGUGACAACUUCGCCGGCAGAGGUGGAACCUGCGGACGGUGGGGCUACUUUUCCUUCCUGUCUCUGCUUGUGGGAGAGCUGCCUGCAGACUGGAAAUCAAACCCGCUUGUGGCACUUUGAAGUCUCUUCCCGUUUGAGGUUUCGGUGGAGGGAUAAUGAGUGGAUGAAAGGCCUUUUUAGCUGGGGCUGUGAACAGCCAGUUCCAGAUGAAUGGGCACCAGCAACACAGGGCAGCCUGUGAGGCCUGUUCAAGAGGGAAGGGAGGAACAGAGCAGGCCUUUGGACGGCGUCUGCCCCCAGCUCCAGCCCUGGAAACAAUUAGUGAGACGAGGGGAGCAGACGGGAAGCAAAGACGGAAGGACAGUCCUCCCAGACUGGGUGACUCACUGGCUUCUGGGUUUGCCUCUCCUUAGGCCUCUGAAUGGACUGAGGACAGUAGAGGGUGUGAGCUUGGCGAACAAGGCAGAUUCUGGCAAGAUCUCCCUCUUUCCCAGUUGGGAGCCCUUUCAUCCUCCUGUAUUUAUGGAUCAAAGGCUAUAAUCCACCACCCCCCCUUUUGGGGCUAUGAGGCGAUCUCUCAGAUUCCCUGGCUUUGGGGUCCCUGGAAGACCCUUCUUCCUGCCUGAGCUUCCUGGACUCCUCCUUGUUUAUUGUGGAGGAAAUCUCCCUCUUUCCUCUGCCCUUACCUGAGAGAGCAAAGGCCUCCGGACCUGGCUUUCCAUUUUCCCUAAAGCACAUCCCUUUCCAGGUCAUUCCUGUGUUGCUGUAAAAAGGGCCACAAACUGGCAGACCUUGGAUGAGCUGUGGGAGGUUGAAUUCUGUGUCGUCACUUAAUCAUCAGAUCCCAUGUUUCAAAGAGAAUUCUAAUUCUGCAGCUCCGUCAGCACCAUGCCCUACAAUUGGCCAGAGUCGAGGGGAAGCCGCCACCUUUGGAUGGGACACAGAUUCCUCUAUUUCCCAAGCCCAGCCUCUAUCCCUCCCACCUUCUCUCAGAUCCUACAUCCUCCCACUGCUGCUCUUGACCUUCUUACACUCUUGCCCACAGUGCUUUAUCCUCCCUUAAGCAUUUGGGUUUGUGAUCCCAGCUGGGAUUUAUAAGGGGAGCACCUCAUCUCACCCUUUCAUGAUUCUACGUAGAGAAAGUUUCAUUUGAAUGUCACUCCUGGUCUCUCUCCUUCCCCUCACCUGGUAAGUUUGGAAGAAGAGCCAGGCAUGCCCAGCUCAGCCCCUCCAUCCUCACACUUGCCUGUCUAUAGGAGAUGCCUCGGCUCCCGCCCAGAGGGGAGGGCAGUCUCUGCAGGAGGCCACUGAGGCGGUCUAUCACUGCCUGCACCCAGGAGGUCACGUUGAGCUAAUUUAGGGGUGAAAUGUCAGCAAGCUGACUUGGGUGGUUUCAAGCCAGGUUCUUAGUUGACUUUAUCUGUGGUCAAGCUGACUUUUCCAUCAGGGAUCUUGAUAUCUGGCUCAGAAGGUGAAGGCUACAGUUUAUAUAUGCUGAUACAUGCGUCUAGCUUGGGACCAGCACAAUUCUUACCCCACCGUGUUACCCGAAAUCCCCCAGGCCUCAGGAUGUGGGUCCACCCAUGGGCUCACGGAAUUUGAUGAUCCCGAUUCUUUGGCUUGUGCUCCCUUUCCUGUUUGGGGAGGACUUCAGCCGUGUGCAAAACACUCCUCCCCGAGAGUCAAGGAGACCUGCAGGGCAUCUCUUUUGCCCUCACUCAGGGCCUGUGCAUGUAUAGCUUCUGCCCACCUGGCGAUGUCCGCUGAUUCUGUCGUUCCCCAACACCAUUCCUGACUGGCAUCCUCCCUGGGGAGGCUGACGCCUGUGCUGAUGGUACUCUUUCUGGAUGCCCGUCAAGUUCCCAUCCUUGUGGUGACUAAGCUCUGCUGAGUUCUCUUGAGGCCUCACUGUACACAAGCAAUUUUGUGUUCUGGGCAGAAGCGUCAGGAAAACGUUUUUCUCCCUCCCUCUGGGUCUUGCUUCGUCAAGCCCCAGAGUAGCUCUGUGCGUACUCACAUUCCAUUGCUGGCUACAUCCUCUCUCCCUCCAUGGGCCUCCAUGGGACCCAACCACGGAGCCCAUCUGACAUGGACCCUUGGCCGUCUUCCCCACCUCAUGCUCUCUUGAAUCUCCUCUCUCUACCCAAACUUCACGUGAACCUCUUCUCAUGCCAGCUGACAUCUCAAUCCAACAGUCCUGUCCAGACAAACUGAACAAGUCAACAUUGACUGAGCCAGACGCCAUUCUAACCACUCCACGUAAAGUAAGCACUGACUCCCCUCAACAGCUGCCUGAGGUAGGGGCC
rnacentral:lncRNA from 1 species